GCUAGUGGCACAAUGGGUUAGUGUGUGUGGCUAUUAACCAGAAGGUUGGUCGUUUGAGCCCACCCAGGGGUG